rnacentral:tRNA from 1 species
GUCCCCGUAGUUUAAUGGAUAAAACUAGAGACUUCUAAUCUCUCGCUGUAGGUUCGAUUCCUACCGGGGGCA